rnacentral:rRNA from 1 species
GGCUCAGAACGAACGCUGGCGGCGCGCCUAAUACAUGCAAGUCGAGCGAGAAGACGUAGCAAUACGUUUGUAAAGCGGCGAACGGGUGAGGAAUGCAUGGGUAACCUACCCUCGAGUGGGGGAUAACUAGCCGAAAGGCUAGCUAAUACCGCAUACGAUUCCCGGACUGCGGUUCGGGAAGGAAAGCGAUACCGUGGGUAUCGCGCUCCUGGAUGGGCUCAUGUCCUAUCAGCUUGUUGGUGAGGUAACGGCUCACCAAGGCUUCGACGGGUAGCUGGUCUGAGAGGACGAUCAGCCACACUGGCACUGCGACACGGGCCAGACUCCUACGGGAGGCAGCAGUAAGGAAUAUUGCGCAAUGGACGAAAGUCUGACGCAGCGACGCCGCGUGGGGGAUGAAGGUCUUCGGAUUGUAAACCCCUUUCGGGAGGGAAGAUGGAGUGGGUAACCACUUGGACGGUACCUCCAGAAGCAGCCACGGCUAACUUCGUGCCAGCAGCCGCGGUAAUACGAAGGUGGCAAGCGUUGUUCGGAUUCACUGGGCGUACAGGGAGCGUAGGCGGUUGGGUAAGCCCUCCGUGAAAUCUCCGGGCCUAACCCGGAAAGUGCAGAGGGGACUGCUCAGCUAGAGGAUGGGAGAGGAGCGCGGAAUUCCCGGUGUAGCGGUGAAAUGCGUAGAGA